CUCCACAUGGAGCAAGGAGGCCACCAGAGGUGCUGAGAAGCUGCCACCUGCAGGGGACCCUGGCUAGUGGCUCCUGGAGCUGCAUCUGCACAAGGCACGAUGGAUGGAGUUCUACAGGCACAGGGAGAGCUACAUUUCUGGGAAGGACCUUCAUCUGGACCCCCACCCGCUGCUACUUGCCAGGAAAGAACCAGAGAAGCCACAAACUAAUGUAAUCAGAGCUGCGUGGGUGAAGUCCCUGCUCCUGGCCUUGCUGCCUAGGCCCCCAAGAUCCUGGCAGAUCCUGGGACCUUCCACAGACACUGCUACGUGAAGCUGCACACCCGAGGUCAUGAAGUUCACCUGCCUGGGAGUGGGCGCGAGGAUGCUAUCGGGCUGUAUACAGGGAUCUCUGCCACUCCCACACUCUGCCUGGGGUACCUCUCCCCUUCUCUGUACCUCAGUCCUUUUUUCUCUAAAGUCAGAUCCUCAUUCA